CCCAAAGUCAUGGUUAAGUGGGAAACGAUGUGGGAAGGCCCAGACAGCCAGGAUGUUGGCUUAGAAGCAGCCAUCAUUUAAAGAAAGCGUAAUAGCUCACUGGUCGAGUCGGCCUGCGCGGAAGAUGUAACGGGGCUAAACCAUGCACCGAAGCUGCGGCAGCGACGCUUAUGCGUUGUUGGGUAGGGGAGCGUUCUGUAAGCCUGUGAAGGUGUGCUGUGAGGCAUGCUGGAGGUAUCAGAAGUGCGAAUGCUGACAUAAGUAACGAUAAAGCGGGUGAAAAGCCCGCUCGCCGGAAGACCAAGGGUUCCUGUCCAACGUUAAUCGGGGCAGGGUGAGUCGACCCCUAAGGCGAGGCCGAAAGGCGUAGUCGAUGGGAAACAGGUUAAUAUUCCUGUACUUGGUGUUACUGCGAAGGGGGGACGGAGAAGGCUAUGUUGGCCGGGCGACGGUUGUCCCGGUUUAAGCGUGUAGGCUGGUUUUCCAGGCAAAUCCGGAAAAUCAAGGCUGAGGCGUGAUGACGAGGCACUACGGUGCUGAAGCAACAAAUGCCCUGCUUCCAGGAAAAGCCUCUAAGCAUCAGGUAACAUCAAAUCGUACCCCAAACCGAC
rnacentral:rRNA from 1 species